rnacentral:tRNA from 2 species
GGGGGCGUGGCGCAAUGGUAGCGCGUCUGAUUCCAGUCCAGAAGGUUGCCUGUUCGAGUCAGGUCGUCCUCA